AGGGGCGGGAGAUAUACAUGCAAGUCGAGCGGACAGAUGGGAGCUUGCUCCCUGAUGUUAGCGGCGGACGGGUGAGUAACACGUGGGUAACCUGCCUGUAAGACUGGGAUAACUCCGGGAAACCGGGGCUAAUACCGGAUGGUUGUUUGAACCGCAUGGUUCAGACAUAAAAGGUGGCUUCGGCUACCACUUACAGAUGGACCCGCGGCGCAUUAGCUAGUUGGUGAGGUAACGGCUCACCAAGGCGACGAUGCGUAGCCGACCUGAGAGGGUGAUCGGCCACACUGGGACUGAGACACGGCCCAGACUCCUACGGGAGGCAGCAGUAGGGAAUCUUCCGCAAUGGACGAAAGUCUGACGGAGCAACGCCGCGUGAGUGAUGAAGGUUUUCGGAUCGUAAAGCUCUGUUGUUAGGGAAGAACAAGUGCCGUUCAAAUAGGGCGGCACCUUGACGGUACCUAACCAGAAAGCCACGGCUAACUACGUGCCAACAGCCGCGGUAAUACGUAGGUGGCAAGCGUUGUCCGGAAUUAUUGGGCGUAAAGGGCUCGCAGGCGGUUUCUUAAGUCUGAUGUGAAAGCCCCCGGCUCAACCGGGGAGGGUCAUUUGAAACUGGGGAACUUGAGUGCAGAAGAGGAGAGUGGAAUUCCUCCUGUAGAACUGGAAUGCUUACACAGUGUGUGACGACCAUCCACGGUCGAAGACCGACUCCUCGCGUCUG
rnacentral:rRNA from 1 species